rnacentral:sRNA from 1 species
AUGGCUGUCGUCAGCUCGUGUCGUGAGAUGUUGGGUUAAGUCCCGCAACGAGCGCAACCCCUGUUCUUAGUUGCCAGCGCGUAAUGGCGGGGACUCUAGGAAGACUGCCGGUGCCAAACCGGAGGAAGGUGGGGACGACGUCAAAUCAUCAUGCCCCUUAUGUCUUGGGCUUCACGCAUGCUACAAUGGCCAGUACAAAGGGCUGCGAUGCCGUAAGGUGGAGCGAAUCCCAAAAAACUGGUCUCAGUUCGGAUUGGGGUCUGCAACUCGACCCCAUGAAGUCGGAGUCGCUAGUAAUCGCAGAUCAGCAACGCUGCGGUGAAUACGUUCCCGGGCCUUGUACACACCGCCCGUCAAGUCACGAAAGUCGGUAACACCCGAAGCCGGUGGCCCAACUCGCAAGAGGGGGAGCCGUCGAAGGUGGGACUGGCGAUUGGGACUAAGUCGUAACAAGGUAGCCGUACCGGAAGGUGCGGCUGGAUCACCUCCUUUCUAAGGAGCACUGGCAUCCCCUGUUGGGGGUGUCCAGGUAGCCCGCCACGACCGUUCGCGUUGUGGGGGUUGCUCACGGGUGGAUCAUCGAUUACUUGGCGCCGCGCAGUGGUGGUGGUUUGCGAGUACUGGUUUCUUGUCCUUCGGGGUAGGGGCCGUGGAAAGCGCCGCGACUGGUGGGCGGCCUCUGGCACGUUGUUGGGUCCUGAGGGCUCGGGCGCAAGCUCGGUGUUUUCAGUGGGCCUCACCUGUUCUCGUACCACCUGUCCUUUCUUUUUGUGGGGGUGGGGUUGGCGGGGGCGUGUUGGUGAUGGUGCCGCCCGUAUGUUGAGAACUACACAGUGGACGCGAGCAUCUUUGUGGCCAAGUUUUUAAGGGCGCACGGUGGCUGCCUUGGUACCAGGAACCGAAGAAGGACGUAGGAAUCUGCGAUAAGCCACGGGGAGUCGAUAACCAGACUGUGAUCCGUGGAUUUCCGAAUGGGGAAACCCGG